AUCCUGGCUCAGAUUGAACGCUGGCGGCAGGCCUUACACAUGCAAGUCGAGCGGUAGAGAGGUGCUUGCAUCUCUUGAGAGCGGCGGACGGGUGAGUAAUGCCUAGGAAUCUGCCUAGUGGUGGGGGAUAACGUUCGGAACGGACGCUAAUACCGCAUACGUCCUACGGGAGAAAGCGGGGGAUCUUCGGACCUCGCGCCAUUAGAUGAGCCUAGGUCGGAUUAGCUAGUUGGUGAGGUAAUGGCUCACCAAGGCGACGAUCCGUAACUGGUCUGAGAGGAUGAUCAGUCACACUAGAACUGAGACACGGUCCAGACUCCUACGGGAGGCAGCAGUGGGGAAUAUUGGACAAUGGGCGAAAGCCUGAUCCAGCCAUGCCGCGUGUGUGAAGAAGGUCUUCGGAUUGUAAAGCACUUUAAGUUGGGAGGAAGGGUAGUAACCUAAUACGUUGCUACUUUGACGUUACCGACAGAAUAAGCACCGGCUAACUUCGUG
rnacentral:rRNA from 1 species